ACCGGGUGAGGUGGUGUGUGCCUGUAGUCCCAGCUAGUUGGGAGGCUGAGGCAGGAGGAUCGCUUGAGUCCAGGAGUUCUGGGCUGUAGUGCGCUGUGCCGAUCGGGUGUCUGCACUAAGUUCGGCAUCAAUAUGGUGACCUCCCGGGAGCGGGGAACCACCAGGUUGCCUAAGGAGAUGUGAACUGGCCCAGGUCAGAAAUGGAGCAGGUCAAAACUCCCGUGCUGAUCAGUAGUGGGAUCACGCCUGUGAAUAGCCCCUGCAUUCCAGCCUGGGCAACAUAGUGAGACCCCGUCCCU
rnacentral:SRP_RNA from 1 species